rnacentral:rRNA from 1 species
GACAGAGGGUGCAAGCGUUGUUCGGAAUCAUUGGGCGUAAAGGGCGCGUAGGCGGUUUUGUAAGUCGGAUGUGAAAGCCCAGGGCUCAACCUUGGAAGUGCAUCCGAAACUGCGAAACUCGAGUCCCGGAGAGGGUGGUGGAAUUCCCAGUGUAGAGGUGAAAUUCGUAGAUAUUGGGAGGAACACCAGUGGCGAAGGCGACCACCUGGACGGAGACUGACGCUGAGGCGCGAGAGCGUGGGGAGCAAACAGG